rnacentral:ncRNA from 1 species
GACAGCCGUUAGGGGUGUUCGGCUAGCGCCGGACUGAGAGAAAACCCUUGCACCUGAUCUGGGCAAUGCCAGCGUAGGGAAAUGGCUUGGUUAACGU